rnacentral:rRNA from 1 species
UACAGAGGUCCCAAGCGUUGUUCGGAUUCAUUGGGCGUAAAGGGUGCGUAGGCGGCGCGGUAAGUCGGGUGUGAAAUCUCGGAGCUUAACUCCGAAACUGCAUUCGAUACUGCCGUGCUUGAGGACUGGAGAGGAGACUGGAAUUUACGGUGUAGCAGUGAAAUGCGUAGAGAUCGUAAGGAAGACCAGUGGCGAAGGCGGGUCUCUGGACAGUUCCUGACGCUGAGGCACGAAGGCCAGGGGAGCAAACGGG